rnacentral:misc_RNA from 1 species
GCGGGUCCGAAGCGCUAGCGCGCCGCGUUCUCGAUCCGGCGCG